rnacentral:tRNA from 1 species
GCCCGGUGGCUGAGUCGGUUAAGCGUCUGACUUCCUCUCAGGUCGUGAUAUCGUGGUUUGUGGGUUCCAGCCCCGCAUCGGGUU